rnacentral:rRNA from 1 species
CUCUAGAACCAUAACACCUUGAAUGCACCCAAUCUCAUCCAAUCUCAGAAGCUAAGCAGGGUCAGGACUUGUUAGUACUUGGAUGGGAAUAAUGAAGAUGCUAGCGUUGAUU